rnacentral:tRNA from 1 species
CCUGGUGGUUCAGUGGUUAGAACUCUGCACUCGUAAUGCAGCAGGUACAAGUUCCAUCCCUGGUCCAGG